GUAUAAGCGGUGUACGGGAAUCUGACAUAACAGUAAGCGGGAUCCAGGAUCAGAACCCCCUAAUCAGACCCCCAUUAGAGGUUUCGUAUGCGAUAGUAUUAGAUAAGCACUGAAUGAAUCAGAACUUGGUGUAAAAUAUAUGAAUAUUAGGAGAUGUGGUAUGAUUGCAUAGAGACAAAAUAUAUGAAUACAGAGAUGUGGUAAGAUUGCAUAGAGACAAAAUCUAUGAAUUAGUUUAAACAUAUUUAUUUAUAGUGGAUUGGGAAACAAGUUUUGCAACGUCUUAUAUUAAUCCCUUUCCACUUUGCGGAAUACGGAGAUGUGGUAUGAUUGCAUAGAGAC
rnacentral:lncRNA from 1 species